GACGUAGGGCGCGAGCGUUGUCCGGAUUUAUUGGGCGUAAAGAGCUCGUAGGCGGCUUGUCGCGUCGUCCGUGAAAACUUGGGGCUCAACCCCAAGCUUGCGGUCGAUACGGGCAGGCUAGAGUUCGGUAGGGGAGACUGGAAUUCCUGGUGUAGCGGUGGAAUGCGCAGAUAUCAGGAGGAACACCGAUGGCGAAGGCAGGUCUCUGGGCCACUACUGACGCUGAGAGGCGAAAGCAUGGGGAGCGAACAGG
rnacentral:rRNA from 1 species